UAAUACGUAGGGUGCAGGCGUUAAUCGGAAUUACUGGGCGUAAAGCGUGCGCAGGCGGUCUGCUAAGAGAGAUGUGAAAUCCCCGGGCUUAACCUGGGAACUGCGUUUCUAACUGGCAGGCUUGAGUGUGGCAGAGGGGGGUGGAAUUCCACGUGUAGCAGUGAAAUGCGUAGAGAUGUGGAGGAACACCGAUGGCGAAGGCAGCCCCCUGGGCUAACACUGACGCUCAUGCACGAAAGCGUGGGGAGCAAACAGGAUUAGAUACCCUGGUAGUCCACGCCCUAAACUAUGUCAACUGGGAAGUACGAUCGCAAGAUUG
rnacentral:rRNA from 1 species